rnacentral:rRNA from 1 species
AACGAACGCUGGCGGCAUGCCUAACACAUGCAAGUCGAACGAGACCUUCGGGUCUAGUGGCGCACGGGUGCGUAACGCGUGGGAAUCUGCCCUUGGGUUCGGAAUAACUCGCCGAAAGGCGUGCUAAUACCGGAUGAUGUCGUAAGACCAAAGAUUUAUCGGUCUGGGGUGAGUUCGCGUCCGAUUAGCUAGUUGGUGAGGUAACGGCCCACCAAGGCGACGAUCAGUAGCCGACCUGAGAGGGUGAUCGGCCACAUUGGAACUGAGACACGGUCCAA